UUAAACUGAAGAGUUUGAUCAUGGCUCAGAUUGAACGCUGGCGGCAGGCCUAACACAUGCAAGUCGAGCGGUAACAGGGGUAGCUUGCUACCCGCUGACGAGCGGCGGACGGGUGAGUAAUGCAUAGGAAUCUGCCCGAUAGUGGGGGAUAACCUGGGGAAACCCAGGCUAAUACCGCAUACGUCCUACGGGAGAAAGGGGGCUUUGGCUCCCGCUAUUGGAUGAGCCUAUGUCGGAUUAGCUAGUUGGUAAGGUAAUGGCUUACCAAGGCAACGAUCCGUAGCUGGUCUGAGAGGAUGAUCAGCCACAUCGGGACUGAGACACGGCCCGAACUCCUACGGGAGGCAGCAGUGGGGAAUAUUGGACAAUGGGGGCAACCCUGAUCCAGCCAUGCCGCGUGUGUGAAGAAGGCCCUCGGGUUGUAAAGCACUUUCAGCGAGGAAGAACGCCUGUCGGUUAAUACCCGGUAGGAAAGACAUCACUCGCAGAAGAAGCACCGGCUAACUCCGUGCCAGCAGCCGCGGUAAUACGGAGGGUGCAAGCGUUAAUCGGAAUUACUGGGCGUAAAGCGCGCGUAGGUGGCUUGAUAAGCCGGUUGUGAAAGCCCCGGGCUCAACCUGGGAACGGCAUCCGGAACUGUCAGGCUAGAGUGCAGGAGAGGAAGGUAGAAUUCCCGGUGUAGCGGUGAAAUGCGUAGAGAUCGGGAGGAAUACCAGUGGCGAAGGCGGCCUUCUGGACUGACACUGACACUGAGGUGCGAAAGCGUGGGUAGCAAACAGGAUUAGAUACCCUGGUAGUCCACGCCGUAAACGAUGUCGACCAGCCGUUGGGUGCCUAGAGCACUUUGUGGCGAAGUUAACGCGAUAAGUCGACCGCCUGGGGAGUACGGCCGCAAGGUUAAAACUCAAAUGAAUUGACGGGGGCCCGCACAAGCGGUGGAGCAUGUGGUUUAAUUCGAUGCAACGCGAAGAACCUUACCUACCCUUGACAUCUACAGAAGCCGGAAGAGAUUCGGGUGUGCCUUCGGGAACUGUAAGACAGGUGCUGCAUGGCUGUCGUCAGCUCGUGUUGUGAAAUGUUGGGUUAAGUCCCGUAACGAGCGCAACCCUUGUCCUUAUUUGCCAGCACGUAAUGGUGGGAACUCUAAGGAGACUGCCGGUGACAAACCGGAGGAAGGUGGGGACGACGUCAAGUCAUCAUGGCCCUUAC
rnacentral:rRNA from 1 species